rnacentral:rRNA from 1 species
UAUCCUGGCUCAGAUUGAACGCUGGCGGCAGGCUUAACACAUGCAAGUCGAGCGGGGAUUGGGUGCUUGCACCUAAUCUUAGCGGCGGACGGGUGAGUAAUGCUUAGGAAUCUGCCAUUUAGUGGGGGACAACAUUCCGAAAGGGAUGCUAAUACCGCAUACGCCCUACGGGGGAAAGGCAGGGGAUCUUCGGACCUUGCGCUAAAUGAUGAGCCUAAGUCGGAUUAGCUAGUUGGUGGGGUAAAGGCCUACCAAGGCGACGAUCUGUAGCGGGUCUGAGAGGAUGAUCCGCCACACUGGGACUGAGACACGGCCCAGACUCCUACGGGAGGCAGCAGUGGGGAAUAUUGGACAAUGGGCGGAAGCCUGAUCCAGCCAUGCCGCGUGUGUGAAGAAGGCCUUUUGGUUGUAAAGCACUUUAAGCGAGGAGGAGGCUACUUGGAUUAAUACUCUAGGAUAGUGGACGUUACUCGCAGAAUAAGCACCGGCUAACUCUGUG